GACAGAGGUGCCGAGCGUUAGGCGGAAUCACUGGGCUUAAAGCGUGUGUAGGCGGCCCGUUAAGUGUCUUGUGAAAUCCCCCGGCUCAACCGGGGAACUGCUGGGCAUACUGGCGGGCUUGGGCCACUCAGGGGCAGACGGAACAGGCGGUGGAGCGGUGAAAUGCGUAGAUAUCGCCUGGAACGCCGAAGGUGAAAACAGUCUGCUGGGGGUGUGCCGACGCUGAGACACGAAAGCCAGGGGAGCGAACGGG
rnacentral:rRNA from 1 species